rnacentral:rRNA from 1 species
CAAUAGCGUAUAUUAAAGUUGUUGCAGUUAAAAAGCUCGUAGUUGGACUUCUGAUGUGGAGGGACGGUCCGCCUCACGGUGAGCACUGAUUCUUCACGUCUUCCUCUCGUAGUCUUUUGGCGCACUUAGUUGGGUGCCUUUAGAAUAUGGGACCUUUACUUUGAAAAAAUUAGAGUGUUCAAAGCAGGCAUUUUGCUAUGAAUACAUUAGCAUGGAAUAAUAAUCUAGGACUUCGGUUCUAUUUUGUUGGUUUCUAGAUCUGAAGUAAUGAUUGAUAGGGAUAGUUGGGGGUGCUAGUAUUAAGGGGCCAGAGGUGAAAUUCUUGGAUUUGUUAAAGACGGACUACUGCGAAAGCAUUUGCCAAGGAUGUUUUCAUUGAUCAAGAACGAAAGUUAGGGGAUCGAAGAUGAUCAGAU